AAAAAAACAAAACAAAACAAACAAAAACAAAAACAAAACAACCUAAAAAAAAAACAGUUAGAGAAGCAAAGGUAACAUUUGCUUAAAGCUUUCACUUGGAAAACUAGUCCCAGUAUCCACAAUUCAGCCCAUGAACUUUUGUGUAAGAAAAGCGUAAUGGUCCUGGCCUGAUCUGCUUGCAUGACACACAGGGACUAAGUGGAUAGCUGCUAAUAUGAGGAUUAUCCCUUUUCCAUUCUGAAAUUUUAAAAUUGUGAUUUCUAACUUCUCCACAACAGAACGAAGUAAUCACUGUACUUAUUGAAGGAAAAAAACAACCUGGGGCUGCUGUCAGAAAAUGAAUGAACACCGCACUUAGGUGGAAGCCUCAACACCACAGUAACAUGCCAAGCAGGCAAUUCCUGCUGUCAUCAUUGAAGAGCAAUUUGUGAAAACAUGAACCAGCACUUUUCUCUACAGUACUGCAAGGCCAAAGAAUAGCAUCAACAGCUGCAAAACAGAUGUUGUUUUACAGAUGCUGUCAAGAACCACACAGGCUACUGCUAAGCUAUCAGAAGUCAUACACGUUUCAUGCUGCAGUCUGUGAGCGCUGAAAGAGUGGCAUGGCAGGCACCAGCUGUAUCACAAUGGAAAAGGUUUCAAACCAGUUACUCUUCUCCCAGCCUUCUGCGGCAGGCAGGGAUUUCCCAGAUACAUUCCGGUUUUAGCAGCUUAACUGUGGAAUAGAUAGAACAGAGAACUGCCAAGAUCCACCACCUGCAAUAGUCUGGUACUUGUGAAAGAUGUAAGACUUUGGCGAAGUUCUUUAUCCUCUCCCACUACAAACGCACUCGGGAGUUCUGAGUCUAUAAAAAUAUUAUCUUCUAAGCAAAUAUCAACACAAUAGUUUAAACAAGCAGAGUUAUUUACUGGUAGAAAUUAAAAAGUUCUCUUCCUCGCAGAAGAAAAAGCAUUUCUCACAGCAAACAUUUCUGUGAGGAAAACGAGUCAUAACUCUUUCCAAUUGCCAUUGGCUAUUAGUAUAAAUUGCCCUGCUUGCAUUUGUUCAGGAAGCUUUUUCCAAGACCUGGAUUUUAAAAAGUUAAACUCUUUUGGACUUCCUUCUGAAUUCUGUCAUCUCCAUUUUCUUGCACUCUUAUCUCACUUCCCCAGUCUGGCAACUUCCCUCCUCAGAGCUUAGUAAAACUAAGUAACUGUCAUAUGUGUUUACAUUACGUGCUGAGCUCAAAAAGGCUGAAGAGCCAGAAUUUUCCUGAGAACCAGAAGCAGAAGAUUAUGUAGCAGGGGAAAGGGCAGUGACAUCACUAAGUCUCCUCUAGGCAAGUAGGAGGUAAACAGAAAGAGGAAGAGCCAUUCUAAAGGCAAGAAUUGUCAAAACAAUGUUUAAAAAUAUGCUUUCACCUUCACGGUUUAUUUUGUGGCUCUUCUCUUUCAACACAGAUUGCAUUUAGUAACAUAAAAAAGAGACAAAAUAAAAAAAAAAAAAAAAGAGGGGAAUGAAUGAUCCUGAUUCCUGCCCAAGAAUCAGAACAUCUUAAGAAAAAAAUCUGUUACUCAAAUCUCAAAGACCAUUUAAUGAAAUUUGCAGUCACUUAAGUGAGACAUAAUUCCACAGAACAGUAUCACCAACUUCUUCAUUCUAUCAUUCUAGGUGAAAUGGUGCCUCCAGUUUCAACUCCAGAAUAUCCCAAUUGAAACUACUACUCUUUGCCAAACUUCUAAAUAUCUACCCUUAGAGAUUAAAAGUAUAUUUUUACACUCUGCCAUACACACUAAAGUACCAUGGAGAAUAUAAUAAUCAUAACCCCAACCAGCUCUUCUGCCUACAAAAAGAGAAACCACAAGAAGAUACACUACGCUCUACACAGUGUGAUGUUUGUAAGAUGUCACUCCUGCUUCUCCUAAUUUCAUAGGUAAUUUGGCUUCUUUCCCUCCCAGUUUUCAUCAUCCAACCAAAGCAAAGGGUAACGUGGUCUUGGACAAAAAAAACUGCAAUAAUAGGCUAAAUGAUAAAACAUUUAUUACCUUGAUUCCUGUAACAUUUUUUUUCUAGGAAAAAUAUGGGAGAAAACAAAUCUAGUAAAUCUGAGACAGAGACAUCAAAAAAGUGAAAACAUCUGGAUGAAGAGACUACUCCUAUGCCAGCUACACUAUCUGAACAGAAUCUGGAAACACAUGCUUCAACAAAUUAGCUCUUUGCAGAAAUAACUGUCAGCAUGUAAACAGAAUAACAGUUAAGUCAGAGUGAAUCAGCAAACUCUUCCAAACAGCCAAGAGCAAUAGAUGUCAGUGUCUCCUCUGGACUCUCCAGAAAUGCUUUCUUCAGCCCACCCUUGUUUUUCAGCUUCAGUUAAGAAACUGCACUUCAAAAGGUUUUAAAACCAGCUGUUGCACAGAAGCGUGGACCCCAAGAACCAUUCCCCAAGGUAAAGCAGAGUGACUGAUGCAAAGUUGACAAAAGCAACCUGUGACCAUGAUGCAAUGAAAAAUCCAGCUAGGCCCCCCAAAAAUGCCUGUAAAAGAUGCUGCAGACUCUUUGACACUUUUUACUUCAUUGAAUCUAAAUAAUUAGAUAAACUGGAGCUAAGUCUAGAAUACAAGUUCAACACAGUUUAUUACAGCCAAGUUUGUUCAUGAUUUGCAAAUUAUAAUAAAUUCUUACUUCAAUACUGAGUAAGAAUCGUCUCCAUCUGAAUUAGUUGCUCUAAGAGGUAAAGUUUUGUACAUACAUUUACAAGACAAAUUGCUGAAGCCCACUGAAGAGAACUCCAAGUUUAAAACCAACCAAUGAUCUCUCCUCUCUUUAUGCAUGCUUUGAGCUCCUGAAGAUAUUCCUAAACAAAGUACAAAUCAAUAAAUACUAGUAGUUCUUAGAUCUGCUAAAUAUAAGAUCCAAUUAGCAAACAAAAGCCAAUUAAAAAUACUAGGCAGGAAUUAAUAAUGUCAGAGUAGACCACUUCUGACCAGGCAUUCCAGCACUUAUAAAUGGACAUCCCUCUCCCCUCUAUGGCCCUUCAGAGUUUGCCACAACUACCACUAACCAGUCUUUUAAAUAUUCUUUUUUCCUUUAAUUGAUACUUAGUAAGGACUUUGAUUACUAGUAGGUGCAAUAGUCCACCCACAUCUAGGCCCAAACUACACAUAACAAUAUUUGUCUACCAAUCCACCAAAUAAGAAGUGAAUUAAGUUUCAUGUCAUUAAAGUAAAUACAGUCACAAGGCACUACAUCCCCUUGACUGGCACACAGACAAAAAGAAAAUAUAAAAAACCCCCAGCCAAAUAACAGAAGAAGUCAGACCAAGUCCUUAAUUUUUUAGAUUCCUGAUAGCACUCUUUAA